GCGCUGGUAAUUUAGGGGUAGAAUUUCUGCCUUCCAAGCAGAUCACCUGGGUUCGAAUCCCAGCCAGCGCA
rnacentral:tRNA from 2 species